rnacentral:rRNA from 1 species
UACGUAGGGUCCGAGCGUUGUCCGGAAUUACUGGGCGUAAAGAGCUCGUAGGUGGUUUGUCGCGUUGUUCGUGAAAACUCACAGCUCAACUGUGGGCGUGCGGGCGAUACGGGCAGACUUGAGUACUGCAGGGGAGACUGGAAUUCCUGGUGUAGCGGUGGAAUGCGCAGAUAUCAGGAGGAACACCGGUGGCGAAGGCGGGUCACUGGACCGGUACUGACGCUGAAGCGCGAAAGCGUGGGGGAGCAAACGGG